rnacentral:rRNA from 1 species
CAGAACGAACGCUGGCGGCAGGCCUAMCACAUGCAAGUCGAACGGAUCCUUCGGGAUUAGUGGCAGACGGGUGAGUAACGCGUGGGAAGCUACCUUGUGGUAGGGAACAACAGUUGGAAACGACUGCUAAUACCCCUAUGAGCCCUAUGGGGGAAAGAUUUAUCGCCAUGAGAUGUGCCCGCGUUAGAUUAGCUAGUUGGUAAGGUAAUGGCUUACCAAGGCGACGAUCUAUAGCUGGUCUGAGAGGAUGAUCAGCCACACUGGGACUGAGACACGGCCCAGACUCCUACGGGAGGCAGCAGUGGGGAAUAUUGGACAAUGGGGGCAACCCUGAUCCAGCCAUGCCGCGUGAGUGAUGACGGCCUUAGGGUUGUAAAGCUCUUUCAGCAGUGAAGAUAAUGACAUUAACUGCAGAAGAAGCCCCGGCUAACUUCGUGCCAGCAGCCGCGGUAAUACGAAGGGGGCUAGCGUUGUUCGGAAUCACUGGGCGUAAAGCGUACGUAGGCGGACUGAUCAGUCAGGGGUGAAAUCCCGGGGCUCAACCCCGGAACUGCCUUUGAUACUGUCAGUCUUGAGAUCGAGAGAGGUGAGUGGAACUCCGAGUGUAGAGGUGAAAUUMGWAGRUAUUCGGAAGAACACCAGUGGCGAAGGCGGCUCACUGGCUCGAUACU